GGUUAUAGCUCAGUGGGAGAGUGCUCGCCUCGCACGUGUGAGGCACUGGGUUCAAUCCUCAGCAUCA
rnacentral:tRNA from 1 species